AGAUCUCAGGAGACCAUCACUGGGGCUUCAGCUGUGUGUGAAGCUCCAUGUGUCUUGCUCAUUGGACCCAGGCUGGCUCUAAGUGGAUGACGAUGAGUGGGGAGAGUGUCUCUGAGUCUGGGUGGAAGAAGAUGUAAUAUAGACAUCCCAGUUGUGACUGAGCCUUCCCUGGACACUUAAGACCAGCUGAAAUGGGAAAAGAUGGAUGGAGACGGAGCUCAGUAGUAGAGUAUUGCCUGACAUGUGUGAGACCUUGGUUCCAUCCUCAGCACAGGAUCCAUGGAGAGUCAGGCAAGCACAAAGAGUCCCUAUGAAGCCGACUUUCUGUGUUUAUAAGCUUGAUUGGGAAUGAAAUAACAUUUGGAG